UUAAGCUGCAAAUCAACUCACAUCUUAGAAUGUCAUUUGAAAAACAGAAAUCCCAGUGUUUGGAAGCCAAAGACAUUGGCUGAUAAAUAAUUUAACAUGAGAAAUACACUCAUGUAGCUUUAGAACUGGAGAGACCAUAAGAGGCUCUCAACUGAUACCCACUGUGGUGUCAAUGAGAAAUCUAAGAACAUUUAAAUCUUUCGUUUCUAUAAUCAGUAAAAUGGAAUUUUUU
rnacentral:lncRNA from 1 species